UAUUUUUAUAGAGCAGGUUAUUACAGAUGCGGCAAUACCUAAUAUGUCAACUUUUUUUUUUUCUUCACUUUAGCAUAAUAAUAACAGUUUUGAGGCAAAAAAAUAUAUUUUUAA